UUGAAGCUAUUCUUGAAAAGUCAGUCAGGGAGAGAAGCAAUCUAAAGGGAAAGAAGAGUAGGAAUAAAGGUAUAGAGGAAUCUGUAGUAAUUUGAGAAACAGAGCAGAGCUGCAUGAUGUGCAGGGCCAAGACAGGGGUGCAUGGGACGGGGAGUUACGAGCUGCAGAGGGGAGAGGUAAAUUAAGCACGGUUUUUGCAAGCUAUGCUGAAGAUCUUAGAAGGGCCAACGGACAACAGUGAAAGAUUUUAAGCAGGAAAGAAACAUGGACACCAUCAGACUGGUGUCAGAAACCCUGUAAAGAGAAACUAGAAUUCCAGAAAUCCAAAGACAAAGCCAGGAGAUUCUAAAGAUAGAGAGAGUAAGAAGAACAAGGAGAAGUGGGCAGAGCCAUAGUGAACUAGGGCCACACACGACACUUCAGUGAAAGGGUGGAGGUUCACCAAGCACAGCUCCUCUUAGUGGUUCAUGUAGCUGAGUCAGAGUGAGAAGCUACUGGUCAAAAGUCAGUGCCCAGUGCAGCAUCACUGAGCAAGAACAGCCUCAUAACAGCUCCCUUCAUGGAACCCCUGCCUCACCUAAAAUGAAUGGAAAGUUCUAGA
rnacentral:lncRNA from 1 species